GAUGAACGCUGGCGGCGUGCCUAAUACAUGCAAGUCGAGCGAACAGACGAGGAGCUUGCUCCUCUGACGUUAGCGGCGGACGGGUGAGUAACACGUGGAUAACCUACCUAUAAGACUGGGAUAACUUCGGGAAACCGGAGCUAAUACCGGAUAAUAUAUUGAACCGCAUGGUUCAAUAGUGAAAGACGGUUUUGCUGUCACUUAUAGAUGGAUCCGCGCCGCAUUAGCAAGUUGGUAAGGUAACGGCUUACCAAGGCAACGAUGCGUAGCCGACCUGAGAGGGUGAUCGGCCACACUGGAACUGAGACACGGUCCAGACUCCUACGGGAGGCAGCAGUAGGGAAUCGUCCGCAAUGGGCGAAAGCCUGACGGAGCAACGCCGCGUGAGUGAUGAAGGUCUUCGGAUCGUAAAACUCUGUUAUUAGGGAAGAACAAAUGUGUAAGUAACUAUGCACGUCUUGACGGUACCUAAUCAGAAAGCCACGGCUAACUACGUG
rnacentral:rRNA from 1 species